rnacentral:rRNA from 1 species
AUUGAACGCUGGCGGCAGGCCUAACACAUGCAAGUCGAACGAGUGGCGGACGGGUGAGUAAUGUAUGGGAAACUGCCCGGUGGAGGGGGAUAACUAAUGGAAACGGUAGCUAAUAACGCAUACAAUCGGCUGUGACCAGUGGGGAUGAGCUAGGAGGUGGGGUAACGGCCCACCUAGGCGAAGAUCCCUAGCUGGUCUGAGAGGAUGACCAGACACACUGGAACGGAGACACGGUCCAGAGUCCUCCGGGAGGCAGCAGUGGGGAAUAUGGCACAAUGGGCUCAAGCCUGAUUCAUCCAUGCCGCGUGUAUGAAGAAGGCCUUCGGGUUGUAAAGGACUUUCAGCGGGGAGGCGUUACUCACAGAAUAAGCAUCGGCUAACUCCGUGCCAGCAGCCGCGGUAAUUC